AGAGUUCACACAAAUUCGUUGAAAGAUGAAGCAACCAACUUUAUUGAAUCUGACAGCAGCUGCAGCAAACCGGACCUGAGCAGUGCUGAGAUUCUCCAGGAUCAAUACUUACAGUCUGCUUGGAAGACAAACAGCAGUAUACCGCUGUGGACACUGGACAGCUCCAUCAGCGAUGAGAACAGGCCGUUG